UGCGUAGGCGGUUUAACAAGUCAGAGGUGAAAGGCUACGGCCUCAACCGUAGUAAGCCUUUGAAACUGUUGAACUUGAGUAUAGGAGAGGAAAGUGGAAUUCCUGGUGUAGCGGUGAAAUGCGUAGAUAUCAGGAGGAACAUCGAUGGCGAAGGCAGCUUUCUGGACUAUUACUGACGCUGAGGCACGAAAGCGUGGGGAGCAAACA
rnacentral:rRNA from 1 species